CUGGAUCCUGGGUCACUCAUAUAUUUAUUGGGCAGCGUGCAGAGCUGAGCAAAGGUCCUACGGGAGGAACCUAGGUUUUCCUUUUGAAGUGGCAGGGGUUCGUUGGCGAGGCGUUCGAGGGCUCUCCUGGGGUUUUACACAGAAUGCAUGGAGUUACGGAGGUUUGUUUCGGGGCCUGUGACGUUAGUGGUCCAUGUUGGGGGUAAUGACUUGGGUCGGGAGCGGACAAUAGAUCUUAUAUUUCAGAUUAAACAGGACUUGGCCCGGUGCAUAGUUCUUUUACGGGACUUCACACUUAUUUGGUCCAAAAUUGUUCCGCGCCCAUGUUGGUGAGCAUUGCAGCACGCCCACGGAAUUGAGUGGGAGCGGCGAAAAUUGAACAUGACAG